AAUGGAAAUGCGGGGCUUUAAACAAAUCUUACAACUCUCCCCUUCCAUUCGCCCAAAACUCUGCAAUCAGGCGCAUGUUCCGCUCCUUCUAAAACAGGAGCUGCUUUUUGGGGAAGGUCCCAUUUUAAUCAUUCACCUAAAAGCAAUGUGGGUUUUUUUUCCCCUCCGUUUUUAUCUCACCCCCAUGCGCCUGUUCUUUUUUUUUUUUUUUUUUCUUUACAGGAGUUACUCGGCUCUGGUGUUCAUUUUAAUCCGGGGCUUCAUGACUAAACGGCCCCGCAGUGCUGAGCUGCUUACCAGCAUGGAGGCCACGACCCCAAACGGACGCUGUAGGAGUGAGUGAAUGUAUCUUGCACAUACUGCCCCGGUUUUUUACUGUAUGUGCAAAAAUUCAAAUGUAAACUGGGCAGGUUCUCAUCUUCACUCAAUUUAAUUUGGCGUUCUUAUCUUAUCAGGUGUAGUCUGCGAGUUUUCCAUCUGCUUGAUGUCAUGAUUUUACGUGUUCGUGUUCUUAUCCUCUGAGUCACAGUGGUGCAAGUUUUUCCUAACAGUUCUUGUUCUUUCUGCUGCACAAUUAAACAGUGACUAAACUUAACUUUAUUUGAAGAGGAACAUCUUUUUUGAGUGCACUCAUGUUCCACAUGUAGCCCUCUUUGGCCCCGACUUUCCUCUGGGGCGACCGCUUAGGUUUACUCCACUCGAUUGCUCUCUUGGCCACUACUCAAACACAGCUUUGCUUUCUCAAACACACACACACUCCAAACACACACACUCAGGAGAACUUCCACACUAAGGCCCCACCGCAAAGUUAUUAAUGAGCUGUUUAAUUUUAAUUAGAUAGUAAUUCAUGUUAAUGCCUGCUUAAUGGAGCCAAAUAAUUCCCCUCGGUCACUCGGGGUCUUUAUGCUUCAUUUACCAGCCCCUGCAGUUAUUCUCUGGCUUUUGUUUUUAUUUUACAUUUUCAAAUUUUUUUAUUUAUUUAUUUAUUUUUUGAAGCCGUGUGUGAAAGAUUAAACAGUCAAAACAGGAAACAUAUGGGGUGAGUGAAGUGUGCGUCUGCUGAGAGUGAGAACCAGCACCCAUAUGUUUGUGCUCAUUUUACUUUAAUGGGUGUGUGUCUGUGUCAAAUGUUGAAUUUCUCAGACACACUAAGACACGCACACAAACACGCACAUACGCAUACACACUGACCAACAAUCCACUACAGUAAAUUGCUUAACAUCAGCGCUAAGAAAAGGUCAAAGUCGGUUUUGAAGGCUAAGAAGGGUUAAACCCUCAGUUUGAGGUGCAGCUAACCAAGAGAGGUUGUGACCUUUUGUCCAUGCCAGACCUCAAGGUAAAUCACUCCUGCCUGCUGUUGUCGUGCCUGUUUCUACUCCUGCUUCUCGAACGAAACGUCCUCUCCAGGGGUUCAAACAUAAGGCUGCAAAUAAAUAACCAUAGUAGCUAAAACUUGUUUGAGUUUGAGUGAAAAGGAGUGGCGAGUUUGUUUAUUUUGUGUCCAGUGAUUUGUGGAGGAAUAUUUCCUGAACAUUACAUCUAAAAGUUUAGAUAUAGAAGAUAUAGAGUGAGUAUGUAAAAUCCUUUGCCGUAACAGCUGACAUAGGUGAACCAUUUUUUCCACCAAUGCCUGUACAUUAUUUAAAUAUUACCAAAAAAGCUAAAUCUUUGCAAUGCCAGUUUAAAAAAAAAUAUUAGAACCCUUAAUGUAAAAUAAACAUACAAAUUAUUUGGUGUAUUUUUAUUUUUUUUUAAAGAACAUUUUGGCUCUAGGGGCCUUUAUUUCACAAUAGAUUGACAGAAAAGUGGGUUAUGGGAGAUGGAGAAGACAUGGGGCAAAGGUCAGUGGGCCAGGACUCAAACCUGUGAUGGCUGUGUUGAGGACUGAGGCCUCCGUGCGUAUGUCGCUUCCACCGCUGCACCUUUUGAAACCCAUCCACUGACCUGUAGUCGGUCCAUUUUCUAUUUGUGCAACAUCUUUUUGCCCGAUGUAUUUAAAACUCUACAUCUUUGAACUGCUACAUUUAAACAGAUGGGCCUUCCAGAUUCUUUGCUUCAUAGUUGACAAUGCAGUCAUACUUGCAUGAGUUUGUGUCAAGUACUUUUGCACAUUUUUUGUUGUUGCACUAAUCAACUACCCAAAGAGCUUGUGACAUUUAUAUCCAGGCCAGACCUCAAGGUAGAUCUCUCCUACUUCUUGUUGUCACAUUUGUUUCCACUCCUGUUUACCCAAUAAAGGCAUUAAUUUUAUGCCUUCCCUACAGAGGUUCAAACAUAAGGUUGCAUAGGCGUGAUCGCAGCAGCAAGACCCUUUUUGUAUGUGUGUGUGUGUGUGUGUGAGAGAAACAGGGUAGUCCAUGCCUCUAAGGCUGUCUCGGUUCUGUCUGAGAGACUUGCUUCUAACAGACCACUAAGCUGAGUGGCUGAAUUGAGUUAGUGGCUACAGACAGGCUUUUAAUUGUUGAUUGACCAGUCUGAGUGCUGCCUGGGCUGGGGUCACUGAAGAGAACAGACAGUGAGGUCCCAAGGCCCCAGCUGUAAUUUUAGCCACGUCUCCCCAAAGCAAUGAGGAGAGGAGAAAAAAAAAAGUACAGCGGAGAAAAAGAGCAGGGCAGUAAGGCCUCAAUGAGAGGAACAAACGAGAAACAAGAAGUUGGUAAGAAAUUAAUUAUUUUCCGUUAAUUUUUCCUACAUAAAGUUUGAUCACCAGAGUCAUAAAAAUCCUUACAGGUGAAAAAGUUGGAGUUGCUGCGAGCAGUGUGGGAUCUGAGCUCCACAGAGCAGCAUCUUCAGUCCCCACCGUUCCACAAUACCUCCCCUCCUUCAUCUGUUUGAUGAUUACAAAUUUACUUUGUACCCGUUCCAUCCACUUCUUUGCUUCUCCCUCUCUCCCCCCUUCUUCCUUUGACCCUCUUUCCUCUAAUUCUGCAUGGGGGGCAGCAAAAGCCCAUUUUGGUGUUUUAGCGGGUUAGCUCAUCUCUCCACUCCUCCCCUCUCCUCCACGUCUCCUCCUCCACUUCUCAGCUCACAGCAGGUGCUCCUCCUCAGCUAACAUUUGUUAUCUCUAAUCCUGCAGGUUCGGCGCACAAAAAGAGCGUAGUAAACUCUCUCUCAGACCUAAUCCCACCACUCCUUUUUUGAUGGCACUCCCCCUCGCCCUCCUGUCCUUUUUUUCUCCCUUCACUAUCGCUUUUUUAGACUGCCGGAGAGGGUGGGGGGACACUCCACUUCUGUGAUUGCCACAUAGCUUUUUAUCACCGCGGCCUUCAAUUUUGGGGGGCAGCUGUUGGUAGUGGGGGAUUUCUUUUUUUUUUCCCAGUUCUUUAUACCUCUGAUUCCAGCUCUCUUUUUCCUUUCUCUCUCCUUUUGGGCCCCCUUCUCCUUCUCUCUCUGUGUAUCAUUUACAGUCAUUUUCUGGCAAUUAAAAUGGAGCGCUGCUGCAGGAUUUUCGCCUGCAGUGCAACACUACAGUGCUGAUGAAUAAUUCUUCACCCUGCAAACUGGAAAGCUAGCCUUUCUUUCAUGUCGCCCCUUUGUUGAUUUACCAUUAAAACUUACUGCACCGUGCUAUGAGCGGAGGACCCAGCUCUGCGGGAGCAGGCAAAAAGUAAAAAUGAGGAUAAAGCAGAUACGAGCACAUGUGCUCCAGGGUCUUUUUCCCCAGCCUAGAGUGAGGAAGCCUCUCAGUUACAUGAGUGUGUUGUCAGUGUUUGUGUUUAUAGUUUAGAUUUAUGGUGCAUGGGGCUUCUUUAUUUAUGUCCACUGUCUUGUCCUGUACUACUUAGGUUUUAUGUUAAUUUUUCUUAUCGGUGGUUUUCAUUAUGGGGCCUCGCUGCAUUGUGUGAGUGAUUAGGCGGUCAUUCAUCUCUGUUUCUUCCUCAAACACACACACACACGCACACACAUACUCACUCACACACAAACACAGUAUGAGCAGUGACUGAUGUAUGGAUGGAGUGAGUGGGGUGCUCCGGGUGCAGAGGCAGAGUGGUGUUGGCAGUAUGUUAAAUGAUGUGGGUCUCCAGGCCAGCAAAGCUCUGGGCUGUUUUCUGUUCUCAGACUCAUCACCGUUUUAAAGAUUUUUUUUUUCUUUUUGAAUAGCUUUCUUGGCCAGACAAAAAGUAUAAAUGUGAUAUUCUUAAAUAUGUCUCAAAAAGUAAAAAUAAAUAUCAAGCUUAGUAAGCACAUCAAAAUAGAAAUA